rnacentral:rRNA from 1 species
CCAAGGAGUCUAACAUGUGCGCGAGUCAUUGGGUCUUGCUCAGGCCCAAAGGCGCAAUGAAAGUGAAGGCCGGCUCGGUCGGCUGCGUUGGGAUCCCGCCCUCGUUGAGGGCGGGCGCACCAACGGCCCGUCCCUGUCGCUGCGUCGACGGGGCGGAGUGAGAGCGUACACGUUGGGACCCGAAAGAUGGUGAACUAUGCCUGGGCAGGACGAAGCCAGAGGAAACUCUGGUGGAGGUCCGCAGCGAUUCUGACGUGCAAAUCGAUCGUCAGACCUGGGUAUAGGGGCGAAAGACUAAUCGAACCAUCUAGUAGCUGGUUCCCUCCGAAGUUUCCCUCAGGAUAGCUGGCGCUCGGAGGAAGCAUUCUCAUCCGGUAAAGCGAAUGAUUAGAGGCCUUGGGGCCGAAACGACCUCAACCUAUUCUCAAACUUUAAAUGGGUGAGAAGUCCGGCUUGCUCGACUGAAGCCCGGACGUGAGGAUGCGAGUGCCCAGUGGGCCACUUUUG